UAUUUUUAAGCAAUUCUAAUAUACUUGACAGUAUAAUGAGAUGUAAUAUUCUCCUUAAAUAGU
rnacentral:tRNA from 1 species